rnacentral:rRNA from 1 species
CAGUCGCCGCGGUAAUACAGUGGGUGCAAGCGUUAAUCGGAUUUACUGGGCGUAAAGGGCGCGUAGGUGGUUAUUUAAGUGAGAUGUGAAAUCCCCGGGCUUAACCUGGGAACUGCAUCUUAUACUGGGUAACUGGAGUGCAAUAGAGGGUAGUGGAAUUUCCGGUGUAGCGGUGAAAUGCGUAGAUAUCGGAAGGAACACCAGUGGCGAAGGCGGCUACCUGGAUUGACACUGACACUGAGGCGCGAGAGCGUGGGGAGCAAACAGGAUUAGAUACCCCAGUAGUCCCUGUCUCUUAUAA